rnacentral:lncRNA from 1 species
AAAAAUGCUGCCCCAAAUCGCAACUCUGCUCGAGGAUUCAAUGUGGUCGACGACAUCAAGUCUGCCGUCGAGAUAGUUUGCCCUGGUGUUGUUUCAUGUGCUGAUAUCUUGGCUCUUUCUGCUAGAGACUCUGUUACAAUUGUAAGCUCCUAAAUUCCUGUUUACGUGAUGAGUUUCAUAGAGAGGUGAAAGUGAUACUUUCAUAUUACUGAACAAAUGAGACUCUUGGUGAAACUUGAACUUGCAGUACAUCUUAAAAUUUAAAUUAAGCAAGUAAUUGAGAGAUUACCCUUUUGUUUUUGUUGUUGUUGGUAAGCUUGGAGGCCCCUAUUGGGAUGUGAAACUGGGGAGAAGAGAUGCUAGGACUGCAAGCCAAGCUGCUGCUAAUAACAACAUUCCUUCUCCAUCUUCUAACUUGAAUCAACUCAUUUCUAGAUUCAGUGCUCAUGGACUUUCCCCCUGGGACUUGGUCGCUUUAUCCGGUUCGUUAAGCAUUCAACUUAAAACAAAUUUAUAAUACAAAUUAAGAAAUUUGGCUCAGGAUUUUAUCUACCGAUUCUAUCGAAACCUCUUGCUGGUUCAUAGAGUGGGAGCACCGUAGAGUUUUUGAACAUACAGAACCAUGCAUGGACAAAGCCUGGAAUUUUGUCAGGAAGGCGAAAUGAAGUUAUGUAUUAUUAUGAAUGCUAAAAUGCAAUUUCAACAUUAACUUAUAUUUUCUAGUUUUUAAAAGGAUUGAAUCGGGAAAAUUUUCUAUUUUGGGGGUGAUGAGAGGCAUAGCACUUACCUGCCCUUGGUGUCGCCCCUGGAACUAUGAAAAACUGAAUAAUUUGUGCAUAGCUUGACUCGGCCCUAUGACUUAUGACAUAUGGGAAGCACGCUACCAAUUAAGCUCUCUCCUGAAUUGUUUUAAAUGCUAUUGUAAAUUCAGGGGGACAUACAAUUGGACAAGCAAGGUGUACAACAUUCAGGGCACGGAUAUACAACGAGAGCAACAUCGAC